rnacentral:rRNA from 1 species
AUUACCCAAUACGGACACGGUGAGGUAGUGACAAGAAAUAACAAUACAGGGCUACUGUCUUGUAAUUGGAAUGAUGGUGACUUAAACCCUCACCAGAGUACCAAUUGGAGGGCAAGUCUGGUGCCAGCAGCCGCGGUAAUUCCAGCUCCAAUAGCGUAUAUUAAACUUGUUGCAGUUAAAAAGCUCGUAGUUGAAUUUCAGCGUUUCGCGUGUGCCUCUUUUGGCCCAUCUCGUCUCGCUUUUUUUAUUACUUUGAGAAAAUUAGAGUGUUUCAAGCAGGCUUUUGUCUUGAAUACUUGAGCAUGGAAUAAUAGAGUAGGACCUUGGUUCUAUUUUGUUGGUUUUGUUACCUUGGUAAUGGUUAAUAGGAACGGUUGGGGGCAUUCGUAUUUAA